UACGUAGGGGGCAAGCGUUGUCCGGAUUUAUUGGGCGUAAAGAGCGUGUAGGCGGCUAAAUAGGUCCGUUGUGAAAACUCGAGGCUCAACCUCGAGAUGCCGAUGGAAACCAUUUGGCUAGAGUCCGGAAGAGGAGAGUGGAAUUCCCGGUGUAGCGGUGAAAUGCGCAGAUAUCGGGAAGAACACCCGUGGCGAAGGCGGCUCUCUGGGACGGUACCGACGCUGAGACGCGAAAGCGUGGGGAGCGAACAGG
rnacentral:rRNA from 1 species